rnacentral:rRNA from 1 species
GAACGCUGGCGGCGUGCCUAAUACAUGCAAGUCGAGCGGACCAAAGGGAGCUUGCUCCUGGAGGUCAGCGGCGAAUGGGUGAGUAACACGUGGGCAACCUGCCUGUAAGACUGGGAUAACAUCGAGAAAUCGGUGCUAAUACCGGAUAAUAAAAAGAACUGCAUGGUCUUUUUUGAAAGAUGGUUUCGGCUAUCACUUACAGAUGGGCCCGCGGCGCAUUAGCUAGUUGGUGAGGUAACGGCUCACCAAGGCAACGAUGCGUAGCCGACCUGAGAGGGUGAUCGGCCACACUGGGACUGAGACACGGCCCAGACUCCUACGGGAGGCAGCAGUAGGGAAUCUUCCGCAAUGGACGAAAGUCUGACGGAGCAACGCCGCGUGAGUGAUGAAGGUUUUCGGAUCGUAAAACUCUGUUGUUAGGGAAGAACAAGUGCCGUUCGAAAGGGCGGCACCUUGACGGUACCUAACGAGAAAGCCACGGCUAACUACGUG